rnacentral:rRNA from 1 species
UACAGAGGGGGCAAGCGUUGUCCGGAAUCAUUGGGCGUAAAGAGCGUGUAGGCGGCCCGAUAAGUCCGCCGUGAAAGCCCAGGGCUCAACCCUGGAAUGCCGGUGGAAACUGUCGGGCUGGAGUCCGGAAGAGGCGAGUGGAAUUCCUGGUGAUAGCGGUGAAAUGCGCAGAUAUCAGGAGGAACACCAAUGGCGAAGGCAGCUCGCUGGGACGGUACUGACGACUGGAGACGCGAAAGCGUGGGGAGCAAACAGG